GUGAGAAGGAAAAUCCAGUAGGAUUCACGGCUAUUAGGGAUUUUUCUUCAAUUAAUUUCGAAGCUGCAGUGCCUCAAGAAAAACAAUAGGAUAUUGCUAGCAAAUAAAACCAGACCAUUGCCAUGUCUGAGACAUACGAUUUUCUGUUCAAAUUCCUAGUGAUUGGAAAUGCAGGAACUGGAAAAUCAUGUCUUCUUCACCAGUUUAUUGAGAAGAGAUUCAAAGACGAUUCGAAUCACACCAUUGGAGUGGAGUUUGGCUCAAAGAUAAUCAACGUGGUAAACAAAUAUGUCAAACUCCAAAUCUGGGACACUGCGGGACAAGAGAGAUUCAGGUCUGUUACACGGAGUUACUACAGAGGUGCUGCUGGAGCCCUGCUUGUAUAUGACAUCACCAGCCGGGAAACCUACAACGCCCUGACCAACUGGCUGACAGACGCCAGGAUGCUGGCCAGCCAAAAUAUUGUCAUAAUCCUGUGUGGUAACAAGAAGGACUUGGACGCAGACCGGGAGGUCACCUUCCUGGAGGCGUCUCGCUUUGCUCAGGAAAAUGAGCUUAUGUUUCUGGAGACAAGUGCUCUGACAGGGGAGAAUGUAGAGGAGGCCUUUGUACAAUGUGCCAGGAAAAUCCUCAACAAGAUAGAGUCAGGAGAGUUGGACCCGGAGAGGAUGGGAUCAGGGAUCCAGUACGGAGACGCCGCGCUGCGCCAGCUGCGCUCCCCUCGCAGGGGACAGGCCGAGAGCGCUCAGGAAUGUGGCUGUUAGUGAACACGCUCAGUAUGCCCAGGACCAAGGUGAUCUCUGAUGCUACUUUCACCAGUAUCAUCAUACUGAAUUCAGGGUAAAGUUAAUGCCUGUGUCCCAAAUGCAGGUUGGUGAAGACUUCGAGGAAAGAUGAGAUGUAGGGAACAUUAUACAGGGCUCAUAAUGGUGGAGCGACUCUUCUCUGACCUUUUAUCUUCCCAACUUCUGGAUGUUCCGUCAGAGACCCACAGAGAGUCCUGGAUUCCUGGCCCUACUCUGGACUGCUGAGCUUGUUCCUAGGCCCCUCAGACACAGGCAGAGAGUCCCGUUUCAUCUUACUCAAGCCCUUUAAUCAUCUGGGCUGUAUUCAUAAAGCGUCUCAGAGUAUGAUUGCUGAUAUGAUUUGUUUUUCCUUUUAUAUAAUAAUGAACAAGAUAACAGGGAAUCCAAAUCCUAGAUCAGCACACUAAGUCUGAGAUGCUAUAUGAUAAUGGGACCUGACAUCUUACUUUCACCCCUGUACUUCUGCCCUAUGCUACCCAUAGCAUAUUGCACAGUGUUAUUGUACAGUGUUAUCUGUAUAAAGAACACAUCAUAUAGUCCCUCAAAGCAGUGGUUCCCAAACUGUGGGGCGUGUCCCUGUCGGAAGGAGAGUUGCAGCGAUGGGACAAGACUGUGACGACCAAUUGGAUAUCACGAAAAUUGGGGUGAAAAAAUGUCCAGAUCAACUAGCCCAAGUUGUUUUAGCUUGGUUUUUUAGCCCACUGAUAUUGUUGUAAUGUUUGAGUCACUCAGAUAUCACAUGAACACACAAGACAUGGGGGAAUGUGUAGAAUUGCAGGAAAUUACCUUUAAAACUGCCAACAAGGGAUGUGAACAGUUCCUGUCAUGGACAGUGCUUGUGCUCAUAGAAAUAGACGGAUGUUCCCCAGUGAUGGAAGGGGGGGGGGGCUGAGUGAGUUUGGGAACCACUGCCUCAAAGCAUAUUUUAUGGACUCAAUAUCAGAAUUAAAUUAUUAGCUGAAGAAUAAUCUAUCAAUUAUGUCAUGUUAUAGUGAGAAUUAUCAAUCGGCACUGUCUCACGCCUGCUGGUUUCAUUGACCCGUUGUUUGGGUUGUUCUUUGGGUUGAUAUUAUUAGUUGUUGUUUUUCCCUCCCUAAUUGUUAUGAGUCAUGCUUUUUUAAUUUAUUCUCAAUGAUAUAGAAGCUCUUUUUAAAAUAAAGUAUUCAAAAUGUA